rnacentral:misc_RNA from 1 species
CGCACAUUGCGCCCUUUGGUAUUCCGAAGGGCAUGCCUGUCCGAGCGUCAUUAUCACCUCUCAAGCCUGGCUUGCUGUUGGACCUCUGGUUAUACUUCGGUAUCACCGGUCCCAAAGAUAAUGACGGCGUCUGUGAGGACCCCAGUACACUGAGCUAUUUCUAGCACGUAUUAGGCGGAAAUCCAGGCCCGGUCUUACCCAUAUUUUAUCAAGGUUGACCUCGGAUCAGGUAGGAAUACCCGCUGAACUUAA